GACGAACGCUGGCGGCGUGCCUAAUACAUGCAAGUCGAGCGGGCCAGAACAAAGGGCAACCAGAGUUCUGGUUUAGCGGCGCACGGGUGAGUAACGCGUAGGUAAUCUACUUCGAAGACUGGGAUAACACCUCGAAAGGGGGUGCUAAUACUGGAUACGCUCUUUCUUUCGACGGAGGGGAAGAGGAAAGGUAGCGUUAAGGCGCAAGCCUGCUACCACUUCGGAAUGAGCCUGCGUCCUAUUAGCUAGUUGGUAGGGUAAUGGCCUACCAAGGCUAUGAGUGGGUAGCUGGUCUGAGAGGACGGUCAGCCACACUGGGACUGAGACUCGGCCCAGACUCCUACGGGAGGCAGCAUG
rnacentral:rRNA from 1 species